GACGAACGCUGGCGGCGUGCUUAACACAUGCAAGUCGAGCGAUGAAGUUUCCUUCGGGAAAUGGAUUAGCGGCGGACGGGUGAGUAACACGUGGGUAACCUGCCUCAUAGAGGGGAAUAGCCUUUCGAAAGGAAGAUUAAUACCGCAUAUGGUAGCUUUACCGCAUGGUAGUGCUAUUAAAGGAGCAAUCCGCUAUGAGAUGGACCCGCGUCGCAUUAGCUAGUUGGUGAGGUAACGGCUCGACCAAGGCGACGAUGCGUAGCCGACCUGAGAGGGUGAUCGGCCACAUUGGACUGAGACACGGCCCAGACUCCUACGGAGGCAGCAGUGGGAAUAUUGCACAAUGGGGGAAACCCUGGAUGCAGCAACGCCGCGUGAGUGAUGACGGUCUUCGGAUUGUAAAGCUCUGUUGAGAGGGACGAGAGGC
rnacentral:rRNA from 1 species